UCCAAAUAUUAUCAGCCAGAUUCAGUACAGAGCUCCUAUUGUACAAAUAACACAUACUUUACAACCUCUACACAUAAUAAGCUCUAACAUAUACAAGCUCUACACGUGAUACUCCAAACAUUCUCCAGAAGCUCUACAAGUAUGGCAAUCACAGUUACAAGCUCCACAUGUGAUACAGUUACAAGCUAUGUUCUUCAGCAUGGAGCUCCUUCAAUAACAAUGACAAACUAGGCACCUACUCCUGUUAGGACUGGGCCAACAGAACGGUGAUAUGCCUUCCACGGUCACCCUGAUACAUGAAUCAACAGAGAAGAAUUAGGAAAACUGGAGCCAAUAUAGCAAGAAGAGACCAUUCAAAAAAUGACAGCUAUUUAUAUUAGAAUGACAACACAAAUUUAGCUAGUAGCAUGAUUUUUGUUCUCCAGCUAGUUAAAAUGAGAUACUCAUUCAUACAAGAAAACAGAGAAAAAUGAGAUACCCAAGUGCGAGUCGUGCAAAAAACUUCACUACACCAAAUUGCACCUAAACAAUAAUACCAUUCUACUACCACAGCCAUCCAUUCAACAGGCAAGAACAAACAUUACUAGUCAGAGUACGUAGGCUUAACAUCACUAACAUCACAAAUGCACGAGAGAAUAAAGGGAACCAAGAGAGAUACCUAAGGAUGAUAGCAUCGUGAUGAUUUGGAUUAAGUUAGCAUCUGUGAGGAGGUGAAUUAUCGCCAUGGUGUGCUUGAUGAUG
rnacentral:lncRNA from 1 species